UAUAUCAAGAAGACCAUGUGGGACAGUUUCUCAGAGUCCCAGUUGUGUUCUGGAAAGCACAGCGGAGGGAGCUUCAGGUUGAGGAGUUCCCAGACCCUGAGUGUACGCAUGCAGAAGGAUAAAGAUGUAAAAGCAGCUCUUGGAGUCAGUCUUUAUUGACUACUUGUGCAAUUCCUGGUUACCCUGACCAAGGUCAAGAGAUUGUGCCCAGGCAAUAAUUCGUCUGUCACAAGAACUCCUGUGUGACUCCUGCCGAUCGCUCAGAUUGCCCGCAGCAGCUGCCUUCGCUCUUUUAAGGUAGGUGAGCAGAGAGGAGGAAUGAACAGGCCUUUUUCUCUUGCUUUUUUCUCUAAG
rnacentral:lncRNA from 1 species